GCAAGUCGAACGAUCGGCCGUUGGAAGCUUGCUUCCGGCGGUACGGAGUGGCGGACGGGUGAGUAACGCGUAGGUAACCUGCCCUACAGUUCAGGAUAGCUGGCCGAAAGGUCAAUUAAUACUGGAUGAGACAAAUUGCUGGUAUCAGCGAAUCGGGAAAGCCGCUUUCGGGCGGCGCUGUUGGAUGGGCUUGCGUACUAUUAGCUAGUUGGUGGGGUAAUGGCCUACCAAGGCUUUGAUGGUUAGCCGGCUUGAGAGAGUGAAC
rnacentral:rRNA from 1 species